rnacentral:rRNA from 1 species
UAAAAACUCCUAAACCCCUGUGAACUUACUAGGUUGGAUUCUCGCCAGAGAUAGUCUGGUUUCUGCAGACGGAUCGCCUGUCCGUGACACCUGUCACAGGCAGGUAUGCUUCUGUAGCGGGGCCGCAGGCAAAUCGUCUGUUCCACAAGGUCUGCCUAGUGGACGGCGAUUUACCUGUGGAAGAGAUCCUCUAACUAUAUACUUUUUAUAAAAUCUGUGAACUUACUAGGUUGGAUUCUCGCCAGAGAUAGUCUGGUUUCUGCUUCGCGGAUCGCCUGCCUGUGACAGGUGUCACAGGCAGGACAUGCCUCUGCCGCGGGUCCGAAGGUAAAUCGUCUGUUUCACAAGGGACGGCGAUUUACCUGUGGAAGAGGUCCUCUAACUAUAUUAUUAUAAAAUCUAAACUUACAUGGUUUGACGCGGCAGUCUACCUCGCGAGACCCCACCCUGGGGAACUCGCAGAGUGGGCAUCGAUCAGCCUUGUCUAUUUAGGUUUGACUCACCAGUUGAAUGAUCCUGGUCCGCAAGCCUUCACACCCUGCCUGCCUGUGAUAUAUGUUAUGGGCAGGUAGGCUUUGGUAGCGGGGUCACGUUUAAAUCGUAAGUCCAUCCGGUGUCCACUGGAUGGUGGUUUAUCCGGGGCAAGCAGUCAACCUGACCUUGUUUGUUCACUAGAUCAAACAUUCUGAAUAAAAAACUUAAACUAGUUAAAACUUUCAACAACGGAUCUCUUGGUUCUGGCAUCGAUGAAGAACGCAGCGAAAUGCGAUAAGUAAUGUGAAUUGCAGAAUUCAGUGAAUCAUCGAAUCUUUGAACGCACAUUGCGCCCAUUAGUAUUCUAGUGGGCAUGCCUGUUCGAGCGUCAUUUCAACCCUUAAGCCCCUGUUGCUUAGCGUUGGGAGCCUACAGCCUGCUGUAGCUCCUUAAAAGUAGUGGCGGAGUCGGUUCACACUCUAGACGUAGUAAAAUCUUUAUCUCGCCUAUAGAUGAGCCGGCGCCUUGCCGUAAAACCCCUAAUCUUUCACAAGGUUGACCUCGGAUCAGGUAGGAAUACCCGCUGAACUUAAGCAUAUCAAUAAGCGGAGGAAAAGAAACCAACAGGGAUUGCCCUAGUAACGGCGAGUGAAGCGGCAACAGCUCAAAUUUGAAAUCUGGCCUUCGGGUCCGAGUUGUAAUUUGUAGAGGAUGCUUUGGGUGCGGUGCCUUCCGAGUUCCCUGGAACGGGACGCCUUAGAGGGUGAGAGCCCCGUACGGUUGGACACCAAGCCUCUGUAAAGCUCCUUCGACGAGUCGAGUAGUUUGGGAAUGCUGCUCUAAAUGGGAGGUAAAUUUCUUCUAAAGCUAAAUAUUGGCCAGAGACCGAUAGCGCACAAGUAGAGUGAUCGAAAGAUGAAAAGCACUUUGAAAAGAGGGUUAAAUAGCACGUGAAAUUGUUGAAAGGGAAGCGUUUGCGACCAGACCUUUUCCCAGCGGAUCAUCCGGUGUUCUCACCGGUGCACUUCGCUGGGUUGAGGCCAGCAUCGGUUUCCGCAGGGGGAUAAAAGCCUGGGGAACGUAGCUCCCUCGGGAGUGUUAUAGCCCCUCGCAUAAUACCCUUGCGGGGACCGAGGACCGCG